UACGUAGGGGGCAAGCGUUGUCCGGAAUCAUUGGGCGUAAAGCGCGCGUAGGCGGCCCGGUAAGUCCGUUGUGAAAGUCAAAGGCUCAACCUUUGAACGCCGAUGGAUACUGCCGGGCUAGAGUCCGGAAGAGGCGAGUGGAAUUCCUGGUGUAGCGGUGUAAUGCGCAGAUAUCAGGAGGAACACCAAUAGCGAAGGCAGCUCGCUGGGACGGUACUGACGCUGAGGCGCGAAAGCGUGGGGAGCGAACAGG
rnacentral:rRNA from 1 species